UGGGCAGCGGCGACCAAAAAAUCGGCGGCGGCAGUGGCUUUUCCGGCGAGAAAUUGGGACGGUUUCGAGGCGCAAUCGAGCGAGAGCGAAGGGGGAAAAGAAGGAGGGGGUCGAGGGCUUCAAACCGACACGCUCAGUUUCGAAGAUGGGGCGGCGUGCGCGGAGAAAAAGGAGGUGGCGUCGUGGGUGCAGACUCGGGUCGUCGCCGGAGAAAUCAGGGGUGGCAGUUAGAGAAGAAGACCCUGACAGUGGGUCCCGCCCAUCAGCGUCAGCGGCUCAGGCGCACGCGUGGGCGGGGCUGCGGACUGGUGCGGUCGGGCGCGCGAGGUAAGUGGGCCGGUUCGCCCAUUUGGCCGGGCCGGCCGUUGUUCUCUUUUUUUUUCUUCAUUUCUUUUUCUAUUUUCUGUUUUUGAACACAAAUUUUGAUUCGAAGCUCAAAAUCAAACCAAAAAAAUGCAACAAAAUUUGUAAAAUCACAUUUUCAUAUGAUUCAACUUUUGGGACAAGAAUUCCCUCAAAAUAAAAUAUUUAAAAAUAUUUUUGCCUAUAAACUAGCCUGUAGGGCUUUUUAACUAUUAAAAUAAUUAGUGAUUCAAAUCAAAUUCAAAUGCCAAGAUAUGGGGUAGAUUUAUAAAUGCAUU
rnacentral:lncRNA from 1 species